rnacentral:rRNA from 1 species
AUUGAACGCUGGCGGCAUGCCUUACACAUGCAAGUCGAACGGCAGCGCGGGGCAACCUGGCGGCGAGUGGCGAACGGGUGAGUAACAUAUCGGAACAUACCCUAGAGUGGGGGAUAACGUAGCGAAAGUUACGCUAAUACCGCAUACGCACUAAGGUGGAAAGUGGGGGAUCUUCGGACCUCAUGCUCAUGGAGUGGCCGAUAUCUGAUUAGCUAGUUGGUGAGGUAAAGGCUCACCAAGGCGACGAUCAGUAGCUGGUUUGAGAGAACGACCAGCCACACUGGAACUGAGACACGGUCCAGACUCCUACGGGAGGCAGCAGUGGGGAAUUUUUGGACAAUGGGCGCAAGCCUGAUCCAG